rnacentral:lncRNA from 1 species
GGAGAGGCGAGGUGGUCUGAAUUGUCUGGGACCGGUGCAUGAAGUCUGCAGUGGGAGGCCGGGGGUGUCAUGGGGAAGGAACACCGGUGGGUAGGUAAAGCAGAGGAGAGGCAGGAUGGCGGCCAGGUGGGAUACCGGUGGCCAGGAUGGCCACCAGGUCACCACGAACCUGGGGGUGAGGCGACCCUGCCCUCCUCUUGCCCAUCCCUAGCUUUUAGGGCUCAGUGCGCACAGAAGAGUUAAGUGCUGUGGAAUGUUCAGAUUUGAAGAAGCGGUGAAAAAUAAGUUUUUGAAAAUGAAGAGCGGAUCUCUCUUCCACACUUCCCCUUUCCCAGCGUUCAUCGCCGGGAGGAACGUCGUUGUUAGUUUUAAAAAUAUGAAGUCAAAAGCAGAGGUGUGUGAGGACAACACUCCCCGAGUCGUGAUGUGUCUGUCGUCUGCUCACGCACCUCCCCAUUCCAGCGCCUUGGAUGCAGGAGCUGUGUCUAAUGCCUCUGAGUUCCCCCACGCCCUGCGCAGGGCCCGGCACAGAGCACGCGUUGGAGGGGUUUGCUGUAUGAAUGAAUGUUGAAUGUGCACCGGGCGAUGUGAAAGCCAUUAAUUGGCCCAGGAAGUGGAGGAAUGGAGGUGGCACAGUACAGCUUCUUUUAAGCUUCACACCAAGUGAGAACCAGUAAGAACCCCAUUUCACUGCUAAGGACUCAAGUACGGAGUCCAAGUGAUGCUCCCCAGAUCCCACAACUGGCACAGGAUUCUAACCACCAGUCAGUACCACAUUCCAGGGCAAAGCUGUGUGGUUUUGAAAGAUUACUUUAUCUUUCUGAACCUCUGGUUCUUUUAAAGAAUUAAGAUGCUGAGACUUGGCAGGGAUACAAGUGAGAGAGCAGGCUUUAGAGGAUGGAGAGAAGGGAUUCCCACCAGGGUAAACAGCUUGUGCAAAGGUGUGGAGUCUGAAAGAACACCUCUGGGGACCCCUGGACUAUUCUGGUUAGCAGAGGGUUCCCUGAGGGAGGGAUGGGCAGGCUGAGGCCAGAAGGGAUUAGUCAGGAACCCACAUAGCUCUAGGCAGGUGAAGGAGAACUUUGUUAAAGAGCCCAGAAAAGUAAAGAAUGGCUGGAGCUGCCAGUGAGAGGGCAGUAGAAUCCAUGGGGAGAGGAAUGUGGAGAGGCAGAGGGGUACAGACAAGGGGGUUCAGACUUCCUUCUGAGAGCCACAAACUCCUGGGAUUUUCCUUAUGAUCCUGAGCCCUGCAGGAUGAUGCUGAGGUUCAAGCCUUCAAGAUCCAUGUGUUGGGAUUCCCUGUUUGUCAGAGGGGAGCCCUGGGAAAAUCUUAAACCAGGCAUUGAUAUGGGAAGGAUGAGUUUGAUAGGAAAGCAGAUAGCAUGGAAAUACUUCUAACCUCCCAAGAAGCUUAUGUUGUAGGGUCUGCCUGAAGAAGAGAUGGUGUCUGCCAAGGCCUAGCCAGAGGCUGCCUAGUCCCCUCUGUACAGUACACCAGCCAAGACCUUGGUUGGAAGAACAAGGAAGAGCGUGGGCUGGAGGCUGAAGUCCAGGCUAGAGGUGGAGUAAGGGGCCCUUUGUCAGGCCCAGGGACUGGGAGGUUGGCCCCAGGAAGCUCAGACUAGUCACUGGGGCCUGAGGUCUGGUAGGAGGCAAUUUUGCCUUAUGUGUCAAAGUUGGUAAUGGUGCUAAGAAACCUUCUUCCUUCAGCUCUUGCUUAGAACCUUCUCUAGCUUCAAGUUGCUGGUAUGAUCAAGCUUUGAAUCCCUAGCCUGGCAUUCCAGCCUCAUCUCCUCACCUCUUCCACCCUCCGCACACUCACUUCUCUCAGCUCCAUCAACGAACAUCUCCAUGGACUUCCUCCAAUGUGGUUGCUCCUGCUGGUUCCCUAGUAUGGGGCCCUGACUUUUUAAUUUCUGCUUCCCUGCUGGGUUGAAGGGAAGAAACUGGAGGCCAGAUGGUCACCUGUCCUCUUUGCUGUGGCAUCCUCAGAGACUAGCAUGGAGUCCAGUGCAUAGCAGGUGCUUAGUAAAUAAUUAUGGAAUGUUCCAUCUCUCACGUCAGAGUCACCUCCUCUGAGAAGCCUUCCUGAACUCCUCCAGGUAGUUUGCGUUUGUUCUGGCUCCCUUGGCUUGAAGGUUCUGUAAUUAUGUAUGUUCAUGUCUAUUUCCUGCCACUGGGAUAGGAGCACCUCAGUAGAAGUGUGACCCCAUCCACCGGCCUCCCAGCCCGGUGUCUGACAGCCCUCAAGAGAUCUCAGCAUUGGGAAGUGAAUGAAUGAGAUUCUCAGAGAAAAGCUGUCUGGAUGCCCCUGUUGCCUCAGCCGUGCCAGAUGAACAGAGCCAGAAUGAAAAGGAGCUUUUCAGAGCGGACCCUCUAUGACCCCUGAGGCCUGCCCAGGGGUUACCAAGAGGUGACCAGUAUACGGGUCUCAAACGCCCACACUUUCCCUCUGGAUAACCUUCAGAGAAGAGGGAGUCUUCGGAAUUGGUGGAAUCUGGCCUUUCUGUGGCCAGGGAGGCCCACCCAGCAGAACAGCUCCAGAAUCAGGGUGGCUUGUCUAGGAGGGCGCAGGCGCUCAGGAUCCAUGAGCCUGGAGGCUAAUAGGAAACAGUAGCCUUUUCUGCCUGUGCCCCACUGCUCCCAAGAACCUCUGCCCUCUCCAUGCCUCACACCAGAGGCAGCUCACAGCCGGGCUGCAGCCUGUGCGUCAAGCCCUCUGUGAAGAGCAGCCCUUCUCUCCUCACACAGCCCAGCUCUCUCUCUCAGGCCUGCAUUUACUAGUAAUUUUGCAUUAUUUUUCUUAAUAGGCCACUGAAGCAAUUCAGAAAGGUCUUUCCACAAGAUCUGUUUCCAGCCCAACCACGUGGUGCAUGCAUGAGGGGUAGGCCCAGCGCUAGGUGGUAAUGUGCCCCCCCCACCCCGUAGCUGUCUCUUUGACAGGAUUAUUAGGCUAGAGUAAGCUCAUCAGCCCUCACAGGACGUGGUGCCCUCUCACUUCUCUGUCCUGGCUCUGCCAGCCUGGAGUCCUUCCCCACUUUCCCCUGCCUGCUUGUGCCUCGUGCAGCCAGUGGGACUUUCUUCAUCCCUCCAGGCCCCACCCACGAUCUGCUCCUCUGAGAAGCCCUCCCUGUUCUCCUAGUGGGUAGCACGGUAUCCUCCUGUGGAACCUGUGACACUGAAGGGUCUUGUCCCUCUCUUGGAACUCCGAUCCCCUUGCAUCUGAGCCAUUGAAGGUCGGUUUUCCCAUUUGAUGAUGAGCUUUUAAAGGACAGGGAUUUGAUUUCUCUCUGCACAAGGGCUGUACAUCUCAGGCCCUACUUGCUGUUUCCUGAGCUGGACCAAGUCUUAUACCAGACAUCAGGAACCCAGAGGUGGGACAGUCAGGAGCCCCCAGCUCCGCCCUGCUAUCACCUAGCACUGUGCCUACCUGUGACACGUGUUCCAUGAGGAGGGGUCCAAAGCUGAUCUCAUGAAGAGGCCAUCCAGGGCUGUCUGUAUGGGCAUGGCUGUCUGCAUGGACAUUGGUGCCAGGUGCUUUGUGAACACAGUGGCUGCCAGUUCAGCUGGGGCAGGGCAGAGCAAAAGCAGCUUCACAGGGGAGGUGACACUUAAUUUGGGAUCUAAGGAUAAACAGAACUUGCCAAGAUGAGGGAUGAGCCUUCUCGGCAGAAGAGACAUCAAUCACACAAAGACAUGAACGAGGGCACUGUCGAGUGACUGGUAGAGGGAGGUGCAUUUGGGGAACAGAAACAAUACCAGAAGGAGAACUGAGGCUACACAAUGGAGCAGUUUGGGCACAUACGCUAGAGCCAUGUGUCCUGGGUUCAAAUCCUGACACUGGACCCUCUCAUCUCUCGGUGCCUCAGUUUCCUCAUCUGUAUAGUGAGGAUUAUACAAGUACUUGCCUUAUAAGAACUUUAUAAGGCUUAAGUUCAUUUUUGUUAAAUGCUUGGGUCAUGUUGAUAUGGGAUAAGCUGUGUAUGCCUCAUCAGGGGCAGGCGAGGCUGUCUUGUGUGGGGCUUGGGUUUGGACUUCAUUUUGAGGACACUGGAAGCAACAAAGAGGAGCUGAGGGGAGUAAGAGGCUUGGCUUGGGUCCAGCCUCACUUCUCCACCCACACACAUUAAAGGGCCUCCCAAGGGUCCCCUGCCUUCCCUCCAUCUCCCAUGCCUUCUGGUGCUCCCAGGGGCCCUUUGGCCACAAUCCAUGUAUUGUGGAACUGCAGGGGCUGUGGCCACACCCACCUGACAUAUCCAGGGAAAACUUUAAGGCCUAAUUUAUUGUCAAAGGCCCUGAUCCUUAACACCCUGAUGAGUGUCUUAGUUCAGGCCUUGACUUAAACGCUAAUGGAUCCAGUUAAGAGGGUAAGUUAAGUGGGAACAGACCGGGGAAUGAAGGGCACAGGGAGGUAAAGAUGUUUGCUUGGGGUUGGAGAGCAAUCUGGUUGGAGGGCACUGUGGAGUGUGAUGCUGUGUGUUGGGAACCAGACACUUCCUGGCCCAGCUACCUCCCUCUGUGUGCCUCUGCUUCCUCAAUGAUAAAAUCAAGAUGGAAAUUGUGGCAGCUCCAGGGAAGGAACGUGGCCCACCAAGGAUGAAGCAGGAAAACCAAUGUGGAAGGGGGAGCACCAGAGGAGGACCCCUUGAGGCAGGGAGGAGAGGGCAGUGUGGCAAGAGGUUAAUAAGGGCCAGGAGGACAAGGACAAAAUGUCUGGAAUGGGCAGUUGAGACCAUGGGUGACUGGGAGAUGGGUGUGGAUGGAGAAGGAGGCUGGAGCAGAGGAGCACUUGUUGAUGGUGGAGAGCUCUUUCCAGGGCAGCUGACAAAUGACUGGGCACUUGAGUGGCAGCAGAGGUGGAGGCAGAGUUGGAGGAUUUGGGUGGAGUUUGAAGGACUUAAAGCUGAAAGCUAUGUGCAGAGGGAGGCCAGGGCAGGAGACUGACACAGUCCCAAGGAGAGGUAGCACUUCUGGGAGGCCUGAGAAUUAAGGGGUGCAGGGGCAGAUGAGGGAGAUCCACAUGGCCCCUUCUUACUUGGUAGGAGGGUUGGGUCACUUUGGAAAGGGUCUGUGUCAAGCUAAUAAAAGAUGAUACUUGGCUCCUCUUCUCAUUCUCUGAUAGUAUCCUGAUCAGAAUCUAAUCUUGAAAGGAUGGGGACCUUCAUUUCCUUUCUGACCCCAGAUCCUGGGGGCUUCCUCCCCUGCAGCUAGUCAGGGGAAAUGUGAGCAAUCAUAGCUCCACGCCUACCCUUUUCCAGCACCUUUGUAUGCUCACAGCAGGAGGUGUCUACUUUGUCCCCUUCACUGUCAAUUUCAGGACCAUGAAGUCCUGGGAGAUUAACUUCUGUGUUCCCAGCCCAGAGCAUGGGUCACACCCAACAGGGGCUCGGGGGCUUUACUGUGGAAAGGCAAAGGGUGCUUUCAUUUGGCUGCCUCUGCUGCCCCCUGCUGCCUGAUUCUGGUUAGGGCAGAAUAAUACUAAGAAUGCUACAGCCGGCUGGGUUUCUGGCUCAGUGGUGGAGUGCUUGCCUAGCAUGUGUGAGGCACUGGAUUAGAUCCUCACCACCACAGAAAAAGAAAAAGAAUAAAGGUUAUCUUCUUUAAAAAAAGAAUGCUAGAACACUCCUCUCCAAUCUUCGGUUUCAGUACCCCCUUUCAUACCUCCAAAUUAUUGAGAACUUAGAAGAACUUCUGCUUACCAGUUUAUACCUAUUGAUACUUACAUUACUUAAAUUAAAAUGGAUACAUUUAAAAAUAUUUACAUAAUUAAAAUAACAAAAAGUUACUAGUAAGUACUAAUAUAAUGUAUUUUUUAAAAAAUAAAUUCUCCAAAACAAAACAAAAAAAUUAAUGAAAACAGUGAUAUUGUUAAUGUGUACAAGUUUCUUUAGUGCUUAGUUUAAUAGAAGACUGAUGGAUUCUCAGCUGCUUCUGCAUUCAAUCUGAUGCACUGUUGUUUGAAGUUUAUGAAAAGAAUACAGGCUUGCACAGAUUAGUAGUUGGAAAAGGGAUACUUUAAUGGCCUUUUGAAAUAGUUACGUCCAUUCUUCUUGAUACUAGCCAAACUGGACAAGUGGUAGUUUCUUGAAGGUUAGUUGGAAUUACUCUAAAAUCCCAUCCAUGAACCUUGCAUGCUCAGUUACAUUAAAAUCACACUUUGAGGGGCACUUUAAAUGUAUCUUUUACCUAGGUAUGCUGUGGUAACUUCAUACAUCAGCCUUUUUUGGGGGGGGGAAAUGGCUCUCUAAGUUAUGCAGAUCUUCCAAAUAUUGAGAAAUUUCAAUACACAACAUUUCUUUACAAAUUACAUUUAUUAACAUCACCACUGAUCUCAUUGGAGAAGUUUUUAAGUAUUGGGAGCCUAUCAGGCUCAC